CGAACCAUCUCAACCAAAGCACGUUGGUUAAAGCUUAAUUACUUUACAGUCUGCGGCAACAACCAGGGCCUUUCAUUAGGGAAAAAUAGUCACAAUCUAUGGAGAUGCAGGACAUGGAGACAGAAUCUCAAAAUUCGGUAGCCAAUUCCGUGUCAUCCAGUUCUACUGCCGAUAGCAUGCUUCUUGAUUCAACUGCUCAGGCAGGCGAAAUCAAUAUUGGAACUGACUGGCAAGAGGAGAUUUAUCA